GAUGAACGCUGGCGGCGUGCCUAAUACAUGCAAGUCGAGCGGAUGGAUUAAGAGCUUGCUCUUAUGAAGUUAGCGGCGGACGGGUGAGUAACACGUGGGUAACCUGCCCAUAAGACUGGGAUAACUCCGGGAAACCGGGGCUAAUACCGGAUAACAUUUUGAACCGCAUGGUUCGAAAUUGAAAGGCGGCUUCGGCUGUCACUUAUGGAUGGACCCGCGUCGCAUUAGCUAGUUGGUGAGGUAACGGCUCCCCAAGGCAACGAUGCGUAGCCGACCUGAGAGGGUGAGCGGCCACACUGGGACUGAGACACGGCCCAGACUCCUACGGGAGGCAGCAGUAGGGAAUCUUCCGCAAUGGACGAAAGUCGGACGGAGCAACGCCGCGUGAGUGAUGAAGGCUUUCGGGUCGUAAAACUCUGUUGUUAGGGAAGAACAAGUGCUAGUUGAAUAAGCUGGCACCUUGACGGUGCCUAACCAGAAAGCCACGGCUAACUACGUGCCAGCAGCCGCAGUAA
rnacentral:rRNA from 1 species